UAAUACGGAGGAUGCAAGCGUUAUCCGGAUUUAUUGGGUUUAAAGGGUGCGUAGGCGGGAGAUUAAGUCAGUGGUGAAAUCCUGCGGCUUAACCGCGGAACUGCCAUUGAUACUGGUUUCCUUGAGUGCAGUUGAGGUGGGCGGAAUGUGUAGUGUAGCGGUGAAAUGCUUAGAUAUUACACAGAACACCGAUUGCGUAGGCAGCUCACUAAACUGUAACUGACGCUGAGGCACGAAAGCGUGGGGAGCGAACAGGAUUAGAUACCCUGGUAGUCCACGCUGUAAACGAUGAUCACUCGUUGUUGGCGAUAUACUGUCAGCGACUGAGCAAAAGCAUUAAGUGAUCCACCUGGGGAGUACGAUCGCAAGAUUG
rnacentral:rRNA from 1 species